ensembl:lncRNA
GGGGCCUGCUUGAAGAUUUUAUGGAACUGACACUGAUUAUAGAUCAGACAAGAGGGAACAUGUGAUAAAACACACAGACGCAAACCCAGAGCCAGGAUUCUCGGAAAAGUGAGAUCAUUGUUUUUAAAGAAAAACAGGCGCAUAAGAACAUGAGCUUCACACACACACUCUCACACACACACACGGAUUUCAACAUACUGGCCUGCGAUUUCUGAUAUGACAUUAGUGAUCAAUUCCGAUAACAAUACUUGUUGCAAAACUUUGAAAAAUGAGGGUUAGAUUAGAUAUGAGCGUGGAAUAAGGAGAUAACAUCACCUCACAGGUCAGUGGUAAACAAUGCACAAAGUCCAGUUAGGGCAGUUUUUCUACUGCACAUAUAGAAACAAAACCAAGCCUUGAGAAACUCUUUUGAGAAACAAGGAACACAGUAAAUUCAAGUGCCUAUGAUGCAUUUGACACCAUUUUAAGCCCCUUAUGGCUGAGGUAGGAAAUGCUAACAGGCUAUGCUAAUAACUGAUGUAGAAAAAAAACACUAACACUCUGAGGUAAUCGCUAAUGUAGAAUAUAACACCAACACUGAGGUAAUCUCUAAUGUAGAAUUAAAACACUAACACUGAGGUGAUCUCUAAUGUAGAAUAAAACACUAACACUGAGGUAAUCACUAAUGAGGUAAUCUCUAAUGUAGAAUAAAACACUAACACUGAGGUAAUCUCUAAUGUAGAAUAAAACACUAACACUCUGAGGUAAUCUCUAAUGUAGAAUAAAACACUAACACUCUGAGGUAAUCUCUAAUGUAGAAUAAAACACUAACACUCUGAGGUAAUCUCUAAUGUAGAAUAUAACACUAACACUCUGAGGUAGUCUCUAAUGUAGAAUAAAACACUAACACUGAGGUAAUCACUAAUGAGGUAAUCGCAAAUGUAGAAUAAAACACUAACACUGAGGUAAUCUCUAAUGUAGAAUAAAACACUAACACUCUGAGGUAAUCGCUAAUGUAGAAUAAAACACUAACACACAUAGAAUUAGAAGCUACCACUAUCUAAGCUAAUCACUGAUGUUAGAUGAAGGGCUAACACACUAAACCAAUUCACAGCGAUGGUGAAAAUGAAGACCUAACGCUCAGCUAAUGACUGGUGUAAACUAUGGCGUAGGUCGAAGGCCUAGCGUCCUUAGCUAAUGACAUAUGUAGCUUUGCUAAUCACAUAUGUAGCAUGACGAGCUAAAUAUAGGGUAGACUGCUUAUAUCAAAACAAGCUGUGUGCUACAGACACCAUGUCAUUAUGUCAGCUGUGAACUUCAACACCUUCAUACUUCAUUUUGAGAGAUUUGUUGCAGCCUGAGUGAAGUGGACUCGCCUGAUUCUGUUCACACUGUAUUUCCUUUCACCUCAGCAAAAUUUUGAUCAGAUUGAUCAGAAACAGUAACUCUGACCUCUGGUGUUUAAGUGUGUUUGUACCUGAGCUUGUUAAAGUUUAAGUCUGGUUUCAUGAUUGUGGUGCUAUUUAGCCCUUGUUGUACCUCUUAGAAAAUACAUUAAAAAAAAAAAAAAAAAAAAAAAGAUUGUAGGG